AACAGGCUUAUCUCCCCCAAGAGUCCACAUCGACGGGGAGGUUUGGCACCUCGAUGUCGGCUCAUCACAUCCUGGGGCUGUAGUAGGUCCCAAGGGUUGGGCUGUUCGCCCAUUAAAGUGGUACGCGAGCUGGGUUCAGAACGUCGGGAGACAGUUCGGUCCCUAUCCGUCGCAGGCGUAGGAAAUUUGAGAAGACCUGUCCUUAGUACGAGAGGACCGGGAUGGACGUACCGCUGGUGUACCAGUUGUCCUGCCAAGGGCAUGGCUGGGUAGCUAUGUACGGAAUGGAUAAGCGCUGAAAGCAUCUAAGCGCGAAGCCAACUUCAAGAUAAGAUUUCCCACCGCAAGGGUAAGACCCCAGAAAGACUAUCUGGUUGAUAGGUCGAAGGUGUAAGUGCAGCAA
rnacentral:rRNA from 1 species